GAAUAUUAGUCAAUGCUCGGAAUGAGUGCACUAGCUAAUGAAAUCACAAAAUCACAAAUAGUGCUUAUUGUGAUAACGUAAGGGAAAAAAUUGAUAUUACCUUACUAUAAGUGUUGUCUAAAUAACUGGUGCCAGAAGACUCGGUAACACCAGAAACGCGAACGUUAGUCGUCUUAAACAGGCGUAAAGGGUAAGUAGGCUGCUUUAAAUAUCUAAAUUAAUAUAAGCUAAAUAAUAAUUUUUAAUUAAAAUUAUUAUUUUCAAAUUAAAUAUAUAGCUGCUCUGCAGAUAAAUAACACACAAAAAAUUGAAAUUAUUUAAUAUAAUAAUUAUUAUUUUCUAUUAAAAUAGACUCACUUAAAGCUAGAAUCAUAAUUGAGAUAAACCAAAUAAUACUUAAGUGUAAGGGCGAUAUCUGAAAAUACUAAGUAGAAUACUAACGGUGAAAACUUUUUAUCUAGGAAUGAUUGACGCUGAGGUACGAAAGUGAGAACAGGGAAUAGGAUUAGAUACCCAGUUACCUCUCACUGUCAACGAUGAAUGGUAGUUGUUAAUUUAUUAAAAUUAGUGACGAUGUUAACGCGAUACCAUUCCGCCUUGAGAGUACGGUUGCAAAAUUGAAACCAAAAAAAUUAGUCGGUCUCGGAGCAAACGGAGCGAAGCAU
rnacentral:rRNA from 1 species